rnacentral:rRNA from 1 species
UACGGAGGGUGCAAGCGGUAAUCGGAAUUACUGGGCGUAAAGCGCACGCAGGCGGUUGGAUAAGUUAGAUGUGAAAGCCCCGGGCUCAACCUGGGAAUUGCAUUUAAAACUGUCCAGCUAGAGUCUUGCAGAGGGGGGUAGAAUUCCAGGGGUAGCGGUGAAAUGCGUAGAGAUCUGGAGGAAUAACGGUGGCGAGGGCGGCCCCCUGGACAAAGACUGACGCUCAGGUGCGAAUGCGUGGGGAGCAAACAGG